rnacentral:rRNA from 1 species
UGGCGGCGGUGCCUAAUACAUGCAAGUCGAGCGGAGUUAUUCCUUCGGGGAUAACUUAGCGGCGGACGGGUGAGUAACACGUGGCAACCUGCCUGUAAGAUCGGGAUAACUACCGGAAACGGUAGCUAAGACCGAAUAAUCAGCUUGGUCGCAUGACCGAGUUGGGAAAAGCGGAGCAAUCUGCUACUUACAGAUGGGCCUGCGGCGCAUUAGCUAGUUGGUGGGGUAACGGCUCACCAAGGCGACGAUGCGUAGCCGACCUGAGAGGGUGAACGGCCACACUGGGACUGAGACACGGCCCAGACUCCUACGGGAGGCAGCAGUAGGGAAUCUUCCGCAAUGGACGCAAGUCUGACGGAGCAACGCCGCGUGAGUGAUGAAGGUUUUCGGAUCGUAAAGCUCUGUUGCCAGGGAAGAACGCUUGGGAGAGUAACUGCUCUCAAGGUGACGGUACCUGAGAAGAAAGCCCCGGCUAACUACGUGCCAGCAGCCGCGGAAUACGUAGGGGGCAAGCGUUGCCCGGAAUUAUUGGGCGUAAAGCGCGCGCAGGC